GCUUGAAAGGGGUUAAUUUGACCCAGCUGCUUGAAAGGAGUGAAGCAGACCUUCCUUCCUGAGAAAUGCUGUACAGACUGCUGUGAUUAUCUGCACAAGUUUGAUGAAAUGAGUAGCACCUGAGAUCUCUGAAUAAAUAAAGGGUCUGCAAGAUUUAGCUCUUCGGUAGCAGAAAAUGUCUUCCUUUGCUACUUGCGUCUUGGACCUUCAAUGAUACCUAUCUCCUUUGAUCCUGAAUGCUGUUUAACUCCUGUUCUGAGGUGGUUCGAAGUGUCCAAAUAUUCCUAUACCAUGGAAAUGUAUUUGCCUUCCAUCUCUUAGCAGCAUUGAACAUUCAUUGGGUUUUACUGUUUGAGAUUUAGUGGGUACGGAGGCUUACCCUGGACUAUCUGUUAGCUUUUAAUAUGUAUUAUAGUCUUAUAUUGUGUUCUAUUCUUUAUGCAUUGUCUCAAGUGAGAAUAAAGAACAAUUAGGAACUGUAUAUUCAUAGCAAAUCCCCAGUCCUCUUCCAUGACCUAGAAAACACUGUGCAAGAAUAAAAAAUAUUAACUAAAAACAUGUUUAUUGCAUAAAUUAAAAUAGAAGUCUGAACUGAGAACCAGAAAAUCCUUUUUAAAAUAUCACCUUAGCUCAUCCUCACCAGGUGGCUGUGACACCGAACACAACUGUGUGGACUUCUACUCUAUAAGGGAACUAGCAGAGCUGUGCUACCUUUUUACAGUACCAUUGAAGAUAAUGUAUGCAAAGUGCUUUGAGCAAUUAGGAAAUGUAUUGUUAAUUCUCAAAUCCAUACAUAUUUAUAAAGAUGCA
rnacentral:lncRNA from 11 species